rnacentral:lncRNA from 1 species
GUCUAUGCUAUCUCUGACCGCGCCGCCGUCAGGCAACUGGGAGAAGUAUAAAUAGAGCUGGAAACGAGCUUAGAUACUGGCAGGACAGUCAAGGGUUUUGUUUUGUGCUUUCUAGUUGUUCACCACCAGACUUUGACUAAACAACACUGGAGCUUCCAAGAAUCUUUUUUUUUUUUUUUGCAAGAUUUCUUCUGACAGAAUUAUUGGGACUAUAGGAGACCAUAUGAACAAAACAACAAAACACUCUGAAAGAUGCUUCAAAAUCUAGAACUGUAACACAAUUCCUGGACAUUCCUGCUGGAAGGACAGAAGACUGGGGUGAUGAAAGUGGCCCAAGCAUUUUGAAGAUGACUCAUAGAGGCGACCUCAGAGCCGGAAACUGUGACUCAGCAUGGCAAAGGCAGUCAUACCAGUGACUCAUUGUGAUACCACACUGUGUUGAAAAAUCUCGUUCCUUAGCAUUUGGGGUGGGGUGAACGUUGUACAAACCAAGAAGGCACAGGAACCCAGGGAGUAAACCAUGUCUCACCAGUUUUCUCAUAUCCUAUUUCCAAGCUGUACAAGGGGGAAAAAUUAUCCAUGUAUUAGCUACUUUUCUAUUGCUGAGAUAAAACAUCAUUGUAUGUGUGAGAGCCAAAGUUAUGUUUUAUGUUUUAAUUACUGUGCUUAAGAUAUCCAUAAAACAAAAAUGCCUGUAGCCUGCAAGCCCUUUGCCCAAGGACAGAAAUCUCCUGAGAUACUGGAGGCUGUUGUUCAUAUAAGGUAACAAGCCUAAACAAGUUUGGUUUGAAGGGACCAGCUUCCCUUUUGGCAGCCAUAACGGCUUGUCUUAGUCAUUAGAAAGUCAGAUGCCUGCCUCAUGACAAGGAACCAAUCAGAAGUUAGUCAGUCACUAGAAAGUCAGAUGCCUGCCUCGUGACAAGGAACCAAUCAGAAGUUAGCUGGUGGCGCUAUGCUUUACAACCCUGUGUGUACAUUACGGACAAGCACACAGCAAUGACGCACAGAGCAUAGCAACCACCCUGGGAGGGCCUAUAGGCCAUAACAACCAGUUGACCAAUCAACUCAGGGCAAGCCCUCCAAGGCUGGAGGCACACCAAUUGUGAGCCUGUGCGUACCCCUAGACACUCCCCUUACGCUGCCCUAUAAGAUCUCGGUCCUGUGGCUUCUCAGAGUCUUUGCUAGCCAUCUGCCAUGGCAGGUGGGUGAAAGACCCGAGCUAACAUGGGGUUAGCUCGUUAAAUUACAAUAAAGCCUCA